UUACGAUCAUAUCACGUUGAAACAACUGUUCUCGUACGGUAACCGAUGUUAAGCAACGUCGUGCCUGAUCAGCACCUAGAUUGGCGACCGCUUGGGAAUAUCAGGUGUUAUA